AUGAACUCGGAAGCCCAUGAGCCACCGUCUUCCUCGAGGAUCGCCGACAGCAUCUGUCGCUUCCUCACCGGGAUUGAUCCCGUCUUCCUCCUUCGGUCACUGCUGCCUCGUCACGGAUCAGCUGCUCCGGUGCCGCCUGGCCUCCCCGACAGUGUCCCCGACCCUCCUCUCGACCUCAAGACCGACGCUGAUGGCUCUGAGUACGACUACGUCAACGACGACCCCUCCUUGCCAGAGCAACCAGAUGACGGAUCCCAGGAGCCAGACGACACCACUGAUGAAUACUUCUACCCCGAGGGUGUCAACUACUACGUGACGGCCGCUGACGACUUGGAGUAG
rnacentral:rRNA from 1 species